GACGAACGCUGGCGGCGUGCCUAACACAUGCAAGUCGAGCGAUGAAAUCCCUUCGGGGAUGGAUUAGCGGCGGACGGGUGAGUAACACGUGGGUAACCUGCCUCAAAGUGGGGGAUAGCCUUCCGAAAGGAAGAUUAAUACCGCAUAAUAUUAGAUUUUCGCAUGAAGAGCUAAUUAAAGAAGCAAUUCGCCUUGAGAUGGACCCGCGGCGCAUUAGCUAGUUGGUGAGGUAAUGGCUCACCAAGGCGACGAUGCGUAGCCGACCUGAGAGGGUGAUCGGCCACAUUGGAACUGAGACACGGUCCAGACUCCUACGGGAGGCGGCAGUGGGGAAUAUUGCACAAUGGGGGAAACCCUGAUGCAGCAACGCCGCGUGAGUGAUGAAGGUCUUCGGAUUGUAAAGCUCUGUCUUUUGCGACGAUAAUGACGGUACCAAAGGAGGAAGCCACGGCUAACUACGUGCCAGCCGCCGCCGUAAUAC
rnacentral:rRNA from 1 species